rnacentral:rRNA from 1 species
AGGGUUUGAUUAUGGCUCAGGAUGAACGCUGGCGGCAUGCCUAAUACAUGCAAGUCGAACGGAGGAAUCGAGAAAGCUUGCUUUUUUGAGGAAUCAGUGGCGAACGGGUGAGUAACACGUAGGUAACCUGCCCAGAUCACGGGGAUAACGGUUGGAAACGACAGCUAAGACCGGAUAGGUGAUGGCGAGGCAUCUUGUCAUCAUGAAAAGAGCUGAAAGGCUCUGGAGCUGGAUGGACCUGCGGCGCAUUAGCUAGUUGGUGAGGGUAACGGCCCACCAAGGCGAUGAUGCGUAGCCGGCCUGAGAGGGUGCACGGCCACAUUGGGACUGAGACACGGCCCAA